rnacentral:rRNA from 1 species
UACGUAGGGUGCGAGCGUUAAUCGGAAUUACUGGGCGUAAAGCGUGCGCAGGCGGUUUUGCAAGCCGGAUGUGAAAUCCCCGGGCUCAACCUGGGAAUGGCAUUCGGGACUGCAAGGCUGGAGUGCGGCAGAGGAGACUGGAAUUCCUGGUGUAGCAGUGAAAUGCGUAGAUAUCAAGUGGAACACCAGUGGCGAAGGCGAGUCUCUGGACAUUUCCUGACGCUGAGGCACGAAAGCCAGGGGAGCAAACGGG